rnacentral:misc_RNA from 1 species
CAAGUGAGGCUACCGAACGCUGGAAACAGCGGUUAGGAGCUUACACCCACCCGUGUUUACAUACUAUUGUUGCUUUGGCGGGCCGUGGCCUCCACUGCGGGCUCUGCUCGUGUGUGCCCGCCAGAGGACCAAACUCUGAAUGUUAGUGAUGUCUGAGUACUAUCUAAUAGUUAAAACUUUCAACAACGGAUCUCUUGGUUCUGGCAUCGAUGAAGAACGCAGCGAAAUGCGAUAAGUAAUGUGAAUUGCAGAAUUCAGUGAAUCAUCGAAUCUUUGAACGCACAUUGCGCCCUGUGGUAUUCCGCAGGGCAUGCCUGUUCGAGCGUCAUUUAACCACUCACGCCUGGCGUGGUAUUGGGGCACGCGGUCUCGCGGCCCUCAAAAUCAGUGGCGGCGCCGGUGGGCUCUAAGCGUAGUACAUACUCCCGCUAUAGAGUUCCCCCGGUGGCUCGCCAGAACCCCCAAUUUUUUACAG